CUUCACCGACCCCAACAACAGCGGAACAUCACGAUCCUGCCCGUACGUCGCCAACAACGCCUGCGCCUC
rnacentral:antisense_RNA from 1 species